UACGUCGGGACCAAGCGUUGUUCGGAUUUACUGGGCGUAAAGGGCGCGUAGGCGGCUUAACAAGUCACUGGUGAAAUCUCCGGGCUUAACUCGGAACGGCCAAGUGAAACUGUCAAGCUAGAGUGCAGAAGGGGCAAUCGGAAUUCUUGGUGUAGCGGUGAAAUGCGUAGAUAUCAAGAGGAACACCUGAGGUGAAGACGGGUUGCUGGGCUGACACUGACGCUGAGGCGCGAAAGCCAGGGGAGCAAACGGG
rnacentral:rRNA from 1 species